CUUUCUGGAAGGUACUGGACACGUCAGGAAUAAAACUGCUAAAAUCGCUUCACGUGAGACGAAUUCAGUGCAAAGAACUCCUUACACACGUUUUGUGUCGACCGUAGAGCUAUUAUAACUUAAGAAACAAGAAUUCAUAAUAUGUCUCUUUUAAAGCAAACCGUUCCAAAACAGGACUCGUCACCCUCCAGUCAGGGACCUCAUUUAGUUUGGAAAAUGAGGGAAUAUUUGGAAUUAACUGCUCCCGUUCCUCUGGCUGCUAAUGACACCCCUCGCGCGGCAGCAGACGCUCUGUGCCCUCCGCUCCACUGAUCUAAUUUGGUUGUGUCUGGGAACGUUCUGAAUGCCAAGCUUUGCAGAAACAUGACGAGCCGAGAAUGAAAGGGCGCCUGUAGGAAACGUGCCGCGCUCCACCUGACAGGUUAGAAUGACAACAGAAACACACACCUGCUUGAUGAUGGACUUCAGCCUCGCCAUGGCGAUCACGGUGACCCACACCGACAUGAGCGACCCGAGGAAGUCACAGAACUGCAGGACGUCGUACUCCAUGAUACAAAACACCACGAUACCCGGCUGGUCACAAGCAUGGUAGAACUGAGGGGAGAGACAGAAAAGUGAAGCAUCUGCUUAUCGACGGGACGGCGGCGGCUCAGGAGGUUGAGCGGGUUGUUCAGUAAUCACAAGGUUGCAGGUUCGAUCCCGACCAGAGAACGCUGCUGUUGUGUGCUUGGGUAAGGCACUAACCCGCCUAGCCUGCUGGUGGUGGUCGGAGGGACCGGUGGCGCCAGUGUUCAGCCGGCCUCGUCUCCGUCAGUGCGCCCCAGGGCAGCUGUGGCUACACUGCAGCUCAUCACCACCAGCAUGUGAAUGACUGAUUGUGUUGUGAAGUGCCUUGGGGGGUUGUAGAACCCUAAGAGCGUGCUAUUACCCUAACCUUAACCAUUUAUUUGUUACAAAAGAAUUAAUGAGUUUUUUAUUUGAACAUUUGUUUUUACAGUGCACUUGGGGAUGACUACAGCCACUGUUUUCCUAUGAGAUGAGUGCACAUUAGGAGCUUUAAGCUAACUGCUAAUACGUACACAGCUCUUACGGGAGAUUUUUGCUCACAUACUGCUGGAUGAGCAGCAGCUCUAGUCCGCGACAGAGCCCUGAAGCGGCUCAUUCUGGCAGGUACUGAAAUAGUCAAAAAUAAAACGGCUAAAAUCGCUUUAAGUGAGAUGGAUUUAAUUUAAAUAACUUCAUUAACAUAUUUUAUAUCAACCACAGAACUAAUACCUAAAGCAUUAAUAUUUCUUUUAAAAACCAAUUUUAAUUCAGUGGAUUUUCUCACGAUCUGAGGUGUUUUCUGCUGUCACUCUCCGUCUCUGAGCUUUCCCUCUGCAGGUGGGCGUGUCUGGAGGUUGACCAAGCUGCAGCAGAUCUGCUCAUCAGCCGGCCAGAUGUAUUUAAGCAGCUGAGAGACAUCUACACUUCGCUGGAUGAUUACUCCACCUGGGCCUCAUUCUCAUUGCUCAUUCUCGACUGGAUACCUUGGACUACCGACCUGUUGUCUCUCAGCCCCCACCCCCACCCCCUCUUGAUUCUAACUCUCCUCCGUCUCCAGACUUCCCCACGUACCGGAAUCAACCAACGGGAUCAGCUCACUUUAUGCUGCAACCUCAGUUUCUUCUCAGAGCAGCAUGACGCCAGCACCAGAGGUUUGGACUGCAUCGCCUCUCUGGUUCAGCUUUGAGCUCAUCCACAGCACAAACGAGCCAGGCACACAUCCUUAAACGACGACGAUCACAAUCAGAGCGCUUCUCUCAUUCACAGCGACUGACUCCGUUUAUCUCAUGUCUCGUUAGACAGAUGCUGGAUAUAAAUCAGCAGCAGCUUGUUGGUUGUUUUGUGCUCGUUUCAGAUGCAAAGAUAUGAACUUCAGUCACGGGUUUGAUCGUGAUGAAGUGACUCACGGUGGAGAAGAACAUGGUGAAGAUGUAGACGGAAGCCUCCAGCAGGUAGUGGCUCCGGAUGGCGAUGGCCACCGGCGGGACAAACAUCAGGUUACUGAGGCAGAGCAGAAGCGUGGAGAGGAGCUGGAAGCUGUAGGAGUAGGCUUCGGAGUUAUCGGUGCAUCCCCAGCCGUUCCAGCCUAAUAAAUACACAAAGACACCAUCAGUCCUGCACGGGAGGAGGUCCUCUAGCUGCGUUUUUACUCAACUCAUCCAUUAUUGAGAAAUAAACUUUUGCCAAAUACUAGAAAAUAUUUAAAGUUUAUUCAAAUUAGACAAUAGAUACAAAAGAACUUCCUCUUGAUUGGGUUCCUUUACAGGUGGCAGGUAAAUAAAACGGUGUGGAACGCCAGUUGUUCCAAAAAACAUGUUUUUAUGUCUCUAGCCUGGAUUGAAUAUUUGUGAACACCGGUUUUGCAGAGUCAGACAAGCCAAGAGAAGCGCUGAGGGCUUGCCAGGAGGCAGAGACAGACGUGAAGUAUGACAACGAGUUUAAGAAAGGAAAAUAAAAACUGGUUUCAACAAGAAAAGAAAAAACAUCAAAGACAGGAAAUACUUUUCUUAAGCUGCAUGAGCUCAUCGUUUACUGAAAGGCUGUUGUAAUUAAGUUUUAUUGUCUUUUAAAAACAGCUGUUAUUAGGAGAUGAACACCAUUAGCUACCAGUACCUACUUAAAUAGUUCAAAUUUACUUCAGUUUUUAUGUGACUCUGCAUCAAAUACAUUCAUAAAAGUGGUGAUGUGUAUCUGUCCUCAAUAAAUUAACUCAAAACAUUGA